GAUGAAGAACGUAGCAAAAUGCGAUAAGUAAUGUGAAUUGCAGAAUUCAGUGAAUCAUCGAAUCUUUGAACGCACAUUGCGCCCGCCAGUAUUCUGGCGGGCAUGCCUGUUCGAGCGUCAUUUCAACCCUCAAGCACAGCUUGGUGUUGGGACUCGCGUUAAUUCGCGUUCCUCAAAUUGAUUGGCGGUCACGUCGAGCUUCCAUAGCGUAGUAGUAAAAACCUCGUUACUGGUAAUCGUCGCGGCCACGCCGUUAAACCCCAACUUCUGAAUGUUGACCUCGGAUCAGGUAGGAAUACCCGCUGAACUUAAGCAUAUCAAUAAGCGGAGGA
rnacentral:misc_RNA from 1 species